UUCAGCAAAAAGCUCACGUAUGUUGGAACGGGUGAAACUGCACGGAGAAAGUUGCAUUUUGAGGUAAAAUAUAUCAGGGGCAUUAUAGCAAAUAACCAAAAGUUACUAACUUUCUAGUAUUCUAUGACUAGCCCUCCCAUUGGGGCACGGUGUGGAAUUCCCUUUCUUCUCUUGGCCGUUCUGUAAUUAACAAAAGUUGGUGGCGGUGUGGAAGGUGUGAAGCUGUUCUUCUUCCCAUGGCUGCUGUUGCUGCUGUAAGAAUCCUCUG
rnacentral:lncRNA from 1 species